GUGUAUUUGAUCAAGAGCACUUGUGGUCAGAGUUCUGGAGUGGCUCACAGGGUUGGCCAUUACUCAUCCAGUAGCUCACUGACACAGAUAGGUAAGCCAAAGCUGAAUGAUAGACAAACACUUGUUGGCAAAGCCCUGGAGUGGCACAGUAACCAGUUAUAGUGGCACAAUAGUGUUACCCAGCCAGCACCUUCCAUCCCCAACAUGAUUCUCUAUGAGGGAUAAGUUCAUGUGAAGUUUAGGCAUAGUUGUAGAACUAAGUGGAAAUCCUGUCCACAGCUGUAUGUCCAGAUACAGGUGCUGGUUCUGGCAGGAACAAAGUUCAAUCCCAAACAAAUGUAUGUUCAAAUAAAACUGCACACUAGCAAAUAGCGACCGUAAAUAAAGUCAAGACCAGUUGUGUGUCUUAACAUUUGUUUGGGAUAUCUCCAAGUCUGUACCAGAGGAAAGAUAUGGUGGAGAAAAAAUGAACAGAGACAUGAGAUAGAACAGGACGCAUUGUUUGCUCAUGUGACACCAAAUACCAUUUAUUAGGGCUUUACAAAGACUACAAAAUCCCUCCAGAUGAUUUAAAUCGCUGUCUCUGUCUAUUUACACGAUAUGUUACAUACAAAUGUACAAAAUAUAAAACAUUUAUGGACAAAUGUUUCAACAAAAAAAGAAACUCUUCUCUCAAAGCAGUAAAUGCAAUGUUUUCAACUAAGAUGUAAUUGCAAUUUUAUGGCGUCACCAUGACAUAAUGGUACACUGUGUUGUGAAAACAUUUGGUUAACUAGGCAACUGGUGGUGUCCUAGGGGAGCAGGGAGGACUGACUAGAUUUCUGCUGUGUUGGAGGGGAGCUAUGUCUUACCGACAAUCCAUGCAUGAGUGUGUGUGUUCGUGCAUGAGUGUGUGUGUGUGUGUGUGUGUGUGUGUGUGUGUGUGUGUGUGGGUGGGUAGGGGUGUCAGGCUAAGUUUAGAUGCAGGCUGAUGGCGUAGACCCACAAUGAUGCAAGCAAAAACAAAAUAAAAAAUACAUUUGUCACAGCCAAGUGAUGACAACAAGAGCUUGUCCUGAGGUUGUGACAUUUUCUGCAGAAAAUGGAAUCUGAUAGAUUUAGUUCACCAGUAGCACCUGUUAUUUGGAAUUGUAAAUAGCACAACAGUAGGCAAACAGUACCUCAGAAUGGGAUGACAAAAAAAAUCGGAUUCUACUAAAACUGGUGAAUAUAAGACUGAAUGAAAGUAUAUUCAGAAAUGUUACAGUGUAAUGCUUUGGGAAGUGAAUUUUCGCCUGUUGAAUAGGGGGAUGAGUCACCAAAUACUAGUUCCAGAGAAUACACAAAAGGGAAAUCUGUGACAAGGACCAGAUUUGCUUUUCUUGAUAAAUUGAAUGGUUUGCUCCUCAAAUCAGUGAUUUAGUGAACAUUAAUAUACGGCGUUAUUUUUUUUUUUUAUAUCAUACUGUAC
rnacentral:lncRNA from 8 species